AUGCAGGCACCGGAAAAAGGGGGAAAGGGAAAAGAGAGAGAGGAGGAAAAAGAGGGAAAGUUGAAUCCAGGGGAUAAGCACAGGUGCAUGCUGGCAAGCUCCAGACGGAGAUGUUGGAGGUCCUACCUGUAAGCCGUAGCAACCGUUGAGGUGAGCUGGAAUGACUUGGGUGAACAGAAGCGCACUGGAAACCCACCGUGGACUGCUCACUAGGAGCCGUCUGUGAUCCCCCAUACAUACACACACACGCACACACACACACCCCUACCUUGUUGAUAAACUGCUAACCGGCUUCCCAAAGAGCAUGACUGCCUCGGCUGUCACUGGCUGAUGGAUACAGAGACACAGAAAAAGUGUCUUCAUGUUGUGGAAACUCAACCUGGGAAGAUCUAUAAUCUAUCUGGUACACCAAUCCCUGAAAAACCGUGAAUGAGUGCGAAACAGAGAGAUCCUGUGGCAAAGGAACACUACUCCAUCCUGUCCUCUCCUGUCAGGGCAUGGCCCAGGUCCAGGAUGGACACCCAAAAGAAUGUGACAGGUGAGCAGCUUAGUUCAUAUUAAAUGCAAAGUGGGUUAGAAGAGCCUAAUUACAGUAUGCGAGGAAGCGUUAUAUCGUACUCUUACAUUCUCACAGUGUGGGCAGAAAAUAAGCAUUGUAAAUAACUUCAUUAUCAUACCUAAUAAAGCAGAGGACGGCAAAAGAAAAAUCCUCUCUAUACAAACCCAACAACAGCUGUGAUUUAAGCAAAUGGAUUCUUUGAGCGACCAUGUAAUGCUAACCUCAUUUAGGACUGAAAAACCUAGCUCCAAAUGAUGAUUAUCCAGCAUGGUUUAUUUAGCAAAUCAAAAGUGCUAACUUUCAAAUAAAACUGACAAUUAGGAUCGAACAGAAUGCUCUCGUAUGAUAUCGCCACCACUACUAAUAGCUUUCAUUCACAUUCAAGUCACAUUCGCGUGUUUAUGAAACCAUCUAUGCUGUGAUGUUUAACAAGAAAACACUAG